GAUGAACGCUGGCGGCGUGCCUAAUACAUGCAAGUCGAGCGAACGGACGAGAAGCUUGCUUCUCUGAUGUUAGCGGCGGACGGGUGAGUAACACGUGGAUAAUCCACCUAUAAUACUGGGAUAACUUCGGGAAACCGGAGCUAAUACCGGAUAAUAUUUUGAACCGCAUGGUUCAUAAGUGAAAUACGGUCUUUCUGUCACUUAUAGCUGGAUCCCCGCUGCAUUAGCUGGUUGGUAAGGUAACGGCCUACCAAGGGAACGAUGCGUAGCCCACCGCAGAGGAGGAUCGGCGAAACGGGAACGGAGACAGGGACCAGGCUACUAAGGUAGGCAGCAGAAGGGAACGUUCCGCAAUGGGGGGAAGCCUUACGGAGCAACGGCGCGUGAGAGGUGAAGGUGCUGGGAGCGGAAUACUCUGUUAUUAGGGAAGAACAUAUGUGUAAGUAACUGUGCACAGCUUGACGGUACCUAAUCAGAAAGCCACGGCUAACUACGUG
rnacentral:rRNA from 1 species